GGAGAUGGGAAUUCCUGGUGUAGCGGUGGAAUGCGCAGAUAUCAGGAGGAACACCGAUGGCGAAGGCACAUCUCUGGGCCGUAACUGACGCUGAGGAGCGAAAGCGUGGGGAGCGAACAGGAUUAGAUACCCUGGUAGUCCACGCCGUAAACGGUGGGUGCUAGUUGUGGGUCACAUUCCACGUGAUCCGUGACGAAGUUAACACAUUAAGCACCCCGCCUGGGGAGUACGGUCGCAAGACUAAAACUCAAAGGAAUUGACGGGGGCCCGCACAAGCGGCGGAGCAUGCGGAUUAAUUCGAUGCAACGCGAAGAACCUUACCAAGGCUUGACAUAUAGAGGAAAAGCGUAGAAAUACGCUCCCCGCAAGGUCUCUAUACAGGUGGUGCAUGGUUGUCGUCAGCUCGUGUCGUGAGAUGUUGGGUUAAGUCCCGCAACGAGCGCAACCCUCGUCCUAUGUUGCCAGCACGUAAUGGUGGGAACUCAUGGGAGACUGCCGGGGUCAACUCGGAGGAAGGUGGGGAUGACGUCAAAUCAUCAUGCCCCUUAUGUCUUGGGCUUCACGCAUGCUACAAUGGCCGAUACAAAGGGCUGCGAUACCGCAAGGUGGAGCGAAUCCCAUAAAGUCGGUCUCAGUUCGGAUUGAGGUCUGCAACUCGACCUCAUGAAGUCGGAGUCGCUAGUAAUCGUAGAUCAGCAACGCUACGGUGAAUACGUUCCCGGGCCUUGUACACACCGCCCGUCAAGUCACGAAAGUCGGUAACACCCGAAGUCAGUGGCCCAACCGCAAGG
rnacentral:rRNA from 1 species